rnacentral:rRNA from 1 species
CCUACGGGUGGCAGCAGUGAGGAAUAUUGGUCAAUGGCCGGAAGCCUGAACCAGCCAAGCCGCGUGAAGGACGAAGGUGCCAAGCAUUGUAAACUUCUUUUGUCAAGGGACAAAAUCAGGCUCGAGAGCCUGACCGAGGGUACUUGAAGAAAAAGCAUCGGCUAACCCCGUGCCAGCAGCCGCGGUAAUACGGAGGAUGCGAGCGUUAUCCGGAUUUAUUGGGUUUAAAGGGUGCGUAGGGGGACUGUUAAGGUAGCGGUAAAAGCCCGGGGUUCAACCCCGGCGAGCCGUUGAAACUGGGUGUCUUGAGAGGUCGAGAGGAAGGCGGAAUGCGAGGUGUAGCGGUGAAAUGCGUAGAUAUUGCGCAGAACUCCGAGUGCGAAGGCAGCAUACCGGCGGCGAACUGACGCUGAGGCACGAAAGCGUGGGUAUCGAACAGGAUUAGAUACCCUUGUAGUC